GUAGAUAUAGUUUAGACAAAACACUAGAUUGUGAAUCUAGCAACAGAGACUAGAAACUCUUAUCCACC
rnacentral:tRNA from 2 species